AUUGAACGCUGGCGGCAUGCUUUACACAUGCAAGUCGAACGGUAACAGGCCGCAAGGUGCUGACGAGUGGCGAACGGGUGAGUAAUGCAUCGGAACGUGCCCAGUCGUGGGGGAUAACGCAGCGAAAGCUGCGCUAAUACCGCAUACGAUCUAUGGAUGAAAGCGGGGGACCGUAAGGCCUCGCGCGAUUGGAGCGGCCGAUGUCAGAUUAGGUAGUUGGUGGGGUAAAGGCUCACAAAGCCGACGAUCUGUAGCUGGUCUGAGAGGACGACCAGCCACACUGGGACUGAGACACGGCCCAGACGCCUACGGGAGGCAGCAGUGGGGAAUUUUGGACAAUGGGCGCAAGCCUGAUCCAGCAAUGCCGCGUGCAGGAAGAAGGCCUUCGGGUUGUAAACUGCUUUUGUACGGAACGAAACGGCUCUGGUUAAUACCUGGGGCUAAUGACGGUACCGUAAGAAUAAGCACCGGCUAACUACGUGCCAGCCGCCGCGGUAAAAC
rnacentral:rRNA from 1 species